rnacentral:rRNA from 1 species
AGCGAACGCUGGCGGCAGGCCUAACACAUGCAAGUCGAACGAACCUUUCGGGGUUAGUGGCGGACGGGUGAGUAACACGUGGGAACGUGCCUUUAGGUUCGGAAUAACUCAGGGAAACUUGUGCUAAUACCGAAUGUGCCCUUCGGGGGAAAGAUUUAUCGCCUUUAGAGCGGCCCGCGUCUGAUUAGCUAGUUGGUUGAGGUAAUGGCUCACCAAGGCGACGAUCAGUAGCUGGUCUGGGAGGAUGAUCAGCCACAUUGGGACUGAGACACGGCCCAAACUCCUACGGGAGGCAGCAGUGGGGAAUCUUGCGCAAUGGGCGAAAGCCUGACGCAGCCAUGCCGCGUGAAUGAUGAAGGUCUUAGGAUUGUAAAAUUCUUUCACCGGGGACGAUAAUGACGGUACCCGGAGAAGAAGCCCCGGCUAACUUCGUG